UUAAUUGUCCGAUAUUUUCCCAUUUUUGUGAAUUGUGCUUAAUUUGACCAGAAAUUCUUAUUUUAGUUAAUUUGAAUCAUCUGAGACUAAUUAUUUAUAUUAUUAAUUGUAGGAAAAUUUUUAACGUUGGCGUUCUUCCUUCCUUCAUGACACCAACAAUCUUCUUGUCACCAACUCUAAGGAUCCUCAAUCUCAAGAGCUCUGCUUGCUUUAAUAGUCUUGAUAACCCAUAACCUAAUUUUGAAUUUCAUUUAUGUGCCCGGUUAAGGUUCAUCACUUUUCACAUCAGGGUGUUGGUGAACCAAUUCUCCUUCAUUAUCUGCCUCCUGAUGGUCUUGUGCUCCUAGUACCAAAAAUUUUAUCCUGCAUACACUAAAGAACACUGCACUAGAGCACAGAAUUAGCCCAAAAAUAAAAAUAAAAAUAGUUAAAGAUAAUUUUUAAUUUAUUUUAAUUUUAAAUUUCGUUUUUUUUAAAAGAUAAAAGAAAAAAAAAUAAACAAUAAAAAAAUGAAAUAAAAAGAUCAAAAGAAAAAUAAAUAGAAAGAUAGAAAGGUAGAAAGAUGGAAAGAUAAGCAGAAGGAUGAGGGAAAGAAUGUGAAGAAGAAAAAGGAGAAAAAUAUGGAAAGAUAUUAUUUUAUUUUAUUUUCGUUUUUUUGUUUAAAAUUAAAAAUAAAAAAAAAUAAAAAAAAUAAAAAAAAAUAAAACAAAAUAAAAUAAAAUAAAAUCAAAUCAAAUCAAAUCAAAUCCAAUCAAAUAAAAUAAAAUCAAAUCAAAUCCAAUCAAAUAAAAUAAAAUCAAAUCAAAUCAAAUGAAAUCAAAUAAAACAAAAUAAGAUAAAAUCAAAUCAAAUCAAAUAAGACAAAUAAAAUAAAAAAAAGGUCUAAUCGAUCAAGAAUCGCACACAUAGAAUAGUUCUACCAUGAGUCCCCGACAACGGCGCCAAAAACUUGUUGGCGAAUUGGCAAGCGUACCAAAUCGUACAAGUAAUAUAAAUGGUAAGUCCAAGUAUCGUUUUCCCAAGAGACUCACGACACUAAACUGUUGUGCUUUUACUUAACCAAUCAAGACUAUAAAAAUAAUAUUUUGGGAUUUUUAUAAAGUGCAGAAAAAUAAACAUGAAUGCAAUUUGAUCAAUUGAGGUUAAACACAAAAGUGGAUGAAUGAAUGGAGUUGUUGGGGAUUUACAAUUUCAUCUAAUCCGCUCUCUCUUACAUACUACCCUUGAAUAUUAGUUUGAUUAAUUCAAUUGUUAUGCGACUUUCUUAGCCUCCCCUUAACCCGAUCCCUCGGCGAAAAGGGCCUAAUAUUAACUACUGGCUUGCUAUCCCUAGCCUUCCCUAGUAAUUAAUACCGCAUUAUAAACAAAAGUUAGCGCAAUUGAUCGUCCUACCCCUAUCCUUAGGUGGUAUUGCAAAAUCAAAAGAUUACUCACCAGUUCAUGUCAUUACUGUANN
rnacentral:lncRNA from 1 species